rnacentral:rRNA from 1 species
UACGUAGGCAGCGAGCGUUGUUCGGAGUUACUGGGCGUAAAGGGUGUGUAGGCGGUUGUUUAAGUUUGGUGUGAAAUCUCCCGGCUCAACUGGGAGGGUGCGCCGGAAUACUGAAUGGACUAGAGUGCGGGAGAGGAAAGUGGAAUUCCUGGUGUAGCGGUGAAAUGCGUAGAUAUCAGGAGGAACACCGGUGGUGUAGACGGCUUUCUGGACCGUAACUGACGCUGAGACACGAAAGCGUGGGUAGCAAACAGG